AAAUUGCUUCUUCUUCCCCCAGUACCAGCAGUCAUUGCAAAGCUACAUUUUUGAUCUGGGACUUUCAGAAUAGGCCCUUUCCCAUACUGGAAGUGCCAUUUAAACUUGUAUCUUGGAACUCCAUUGCUUUAAUUCAAGGGUUGGGAGCUCAAGUCUGAAGGCAGUUGAACAGCCAGCCUCAAUAGGAUGAAAGAGCAAUCGCUUGCUGAGCCGUGACUCCCACGACUGAUGAGAGUUGACCAUGGAAGGCAUACACAGAGCUUCAGUUCAAGCUCAUGAGGAUGAACAAGUGGCUGUGUGGAGCUGAGCUGCCUGCUUGGAUUAAACCCUAACACAAAGCAAGUCGAGACCAGCCUCAAGAGCCUGUUAUGUCAGGAGGUAAUAGAGAAAAUUGUUGGCAUUAUUUGAACUAUACGCAUAAACUACACCAGCUGGUACAGUCUGUUGGGAACUUAUAUGUGGGUCAGAACACUGCAUCAUCAGCACUUCUUCAGCAAAUCCACCUGCUUGAGUAAACAGACAAUAUGCGGCCCCAGUGUAACAAAUCACAUUACUAAAGAAACAACUUUCUGUAUUUCUGGCCUACUUAGCCCUUUCUUCCAUAUAUCUUCAACUCUUCUUGAAUAAAGUCUUUUCUCAUAGCUCCAGUAAGCUCAUAGUUUUUUUGUUUUGUUUUGUUUGUUUGUUUUUAAAUAUAGAAUAAAGACAAAAUACAAAUGAUUAGACAAACAAACAACAACAACAAAAAGACAACCACAUUUGUUAAUAUAACUACUGUGCAGUAAAAAAAAAUAGAGCGUAAAACUUCUGAAUUUGAUUUACCUAUGUGUUACUUUCUAUCGAGGUUUUAUUUUAUCCUCCUAUUUUUAGGAGGAUAUUAUCCUCCAACUAUUUUAUCCUCCUAAACACAGUCUGUAUCAGAUAUUGAUAACUUAGUUAAAAGUUAUUUUACACAGUAAGCCUUUUAAUGCAGUAUGUCAAGAGUUUAAUUUAGUACAUAGACACAAACACCUGAGAUUUAAUCCAUAUUAACAUGCUGGAAAUAAUUAUGCAUUUAGUUUUCCUGACCUAUCUUGGAAUAUGUUUAAUUUCAGGGGAAUAAACUCUUCCUCAUCUGAAAGGACAGGCCUAUAAAAAACAGAGAACCACACCAAAAUAAAAACAAUAACAAAACAUAUGCAGUAAUUGGAAGCAGAUGGGAUAAGCUAAAUACAGCAUAAGCAUCAAUAAAAACUAAAAG
ensembl:lncRNA